CAAAGUUCUUCCAACAAUUUAAGCCAGGAAUUGCCCCACUGUUUCCGAGGUGAUGAGAGCCUCUGAGAGAUGAGAAAACUGAGGCACAUAGGGUUAAGUAGAUUGUCCAAGGUCACUGCUGAUAACUGCAGCACUGGGAUUUGAAGCACUGAACUCUGCUGACUCCUGAGAAGCAUACCUCUAACAGCUGAGAUUUCCAAGGCUUUUUGGCCAAUGUGUUUGUCAACAUCUGCAACAAAUUUCCAGAACUCAGGCCAGAGCCCUGGGCAAAGCCUCCUUUUUUGUCUCCUCUUUUUAUCUCCCAGUGCAGUAGGAAGCCAUCAGAUGAUUUUAAAUGGAGAAGUAAGACACUUGGAUCUGUGCCUAAAAGAAUCACUCUGCUGUUGAGUUCCUGAGAAGCAGACUCUGAGAUAGAGAUCAUUUUGUGGGAAGCUUAUUGGGAGGUGCUCUUGGGAUCCACACCUGUAGAAGCCUCUUUGCUCCCCACACUUCAGGACUGGC
rnacentral:lncRNA from 1 species